AUUGAACGCUGGCGGCAUGCUUUACACAUGCAAGUCGAACGGUAACAGGCCGCAAGGUGCUGACGAGUGGCGAACGGGUGAGUAAUGCAUCGGAACGUGCCCAGUCGUGGGGGAUAACUGCUCGAAAGAGCAGCUAAUACCGCAUACGAUCUAUGGAUGAAAGCGGGGGACCGUAAGGCCUCGCGCGAUUGGAGCGGCCGAUGUCCGAUUAGGUAGUUGGUGGGGUAAAGGCUCACCAAGCCAACGAUCUGUAGCUGGUCUGAGAGGACGACCAGCCACACUGGGACUGAGACACGGCCCAGACUCCCACGGGAGGCAGCAGUGGGGAAUUUUGGACAAUGGGGGCAACCCUGAUCCAGCAAUGCCGCGUGCAGGAAGAAGGCCUUCGGGUUGUAAACUGCUUUUGUACGGAACGAAACGGUCUGGGUUAAUACCCUGGGCUAAUGACGGUACCGUAAGAAUAAGCACCGGCUAACUACGUACCAGCAGCCGCCGUAACAC
rnacentral:rRNA from 1 species